GAUGAACGCUGGCGGCGUGCCUAAUACAUGCAAGUCGAGCGAACAGAUAAGGAGCUUGCUCCUUUGACGUUAGCGGCGGACGGGUGAGUAACACGUGGGUAACCUACCUAUAAGACUGGAAUAACUCCGGGAAACCGGGGCUAAUGCAGGAUAACAUGUUGAACCGCAUGGUUCUACAGUGAAAGGCGGCUUUGCUGUCACUUAUAGAUGGACCCGCGCCGUAUUAGCUAGUUGGUGAGGUAACGGCUCACCAAGGCAACGAUACGUAGCCGACCUGAGAGGGUGAUCGGCCACACUGGAACUGAGACACGGUCCAGACUCCUACGGGAGGCAGCAGUAGGGAAUCUUCCGCAAUGGGCGAAAGCCUGGCGGAGCAACGCCGCGUGAGUGAUGAAGGUCUUCGGAUCGUAAAACUCUGUUAUUAGGGAAGAACAAAUGCGUAAGUAACUGUGCGCGUCUUGACGGUACCUAAUCAGAAAGCCACGGCUAACUACGUG
rnacentral:rRNA from 1 species